GACAGAGGGGGCAAGCGUUGCUCGGAAUUACUGGGCGUAAAGGGCGCGUAGGCGGGCUGGCAAGUCGGUCGUGAAAUCCCUCGGCUCAACUGAGGAUCGUCGAUCGAUACUGCCGUUCUUGGGGAUUGCAGAGGAGACUGGAAUUCCCGGUGUAGCGGUGAAAUGUGUAGAGAUCGGGAGGAACACCGGUGGCGAAGGCGGGUCUUUGGGCAAUUCCUGACGCUGAGGCGCGAAAGCGUGGGGAGCAAACGGG
rnacentral:rRNA from 1 species